rnacentral:rRNA from 1 species
CCCAGACAGCCAGGAUGUUGGCUUAGAAGCAGCCAUCAUUUAAAGAAAGCGUAAUAGCUCACUGGUCGAGUCGGCCUGCGCGGAAGAUGUAACGGGGCUAAACCAUGCACCGAAGCUGCGGCAGCGAACGUAUCACUUAAAGCGAUUCAGCGGGUUACGAUUGACGGAGCGAAGCGACGUCAAAGCGUAUACAAAGUCGAGUCGGUUUAAGGAUACGUUCGUUGGGUAGGGGAGCGUUCUGUAAGCCCGUGAAGGUGGCCUGUGAGGGUUGCUGGAGGUAUCAGAAGUGCGAAUGCUGACAUAAGUAACGAUAAAGCGGGUGAAAAGCCCGCUCGCCGGAAGACCAAGGGUUCCUGUCCAACGUUAAUCGGGGCAGGGUGAGUCGACCCCUAAGGCGAGGCCGAAAGGCGUAGUCGAUGGGAAACGGGUUAAUAUUCCCGUACUUGGUGUUACUGCGAAGGGGGGACGGAGAAGGCUAUGUUGGCCGGGCGACGGUUGUCCCGGUUUAAGCGUGUAGGUGUGUGUUCCAGGUAAAUCCGGUUCACUUUAACACUGAGGCGUGAUGACGAGGCACUACGGUGCUGAAGCAACAAAUGCCCUGCUUCCAGGAAAAGCCUCUAAGCAUCAGGUAACACGAAAUCGUACCCCAAACCGACACAGGUGGUCAGGUAGAGAAUACCAAGGCGCUUGAGAGAACUCGGGUGAAGGAACUAGGCAAAAUGGUGCCGUAACUUCGGGAGAAGGCACGCUGACACGUAGGUGAAGUGAUUUACUCAUGGAGCUGAAGUCAGUCGAAGAUACCAGCUGGCUGCAACUGUUUAUUAAAAACACAGCACUGUGCAAACACGAAAGUGGACGUAUACGGUGUGACGCCUGCCCGGUGCCGGAAGGUUAAUUGAUGGGGUCAGCGUAAGCGAAGCUCCUGAUCGAAGCCCCGGUAAACGGCGGCCGUAACUAUAACGGUCCUAAGGUAGCGAAAUUCCUUGUCGGGUAAGUUCCGACCUGCACGAAUGGCGUAAUGAUGGCCAGGCUGUCUCC